CUACCCCAUCCACGUGACCCAUUCACAUUUCUUCUUCACAAAGAAAUAUGAGAAUAUAUACACUCACUGAUACAGUAAAGAAAAAAAAAGGAGGGUCAAUAAUUUCCAGGGGGUAUCACUCACGAAUUUGGCUUCCCUUCAAAAGAAAAACAAUGAGAAUACAAUACACGGAACACGCACACACCUUAAUCCAUUAGCGCGCACACACCCAUAUAUUCUGAGUCAAAAUUUCAAAAGAGAAAAAUUGAGAGAUUUGAGCGAAAGAGAGAUCGAGAGUUUCGUGAGAGAGAUAGAGAUCGAAAAAGAGGGGGGGUUUAUUCCGGCGACUAGAUCCCGCCGAAGCUCCGACAACGACCCCAAAACUUGGCAAAGUCCCGUGACAAAAAUAGUCUGCUUUCCGUCUAUGAUUUCGGCUAAUUUCAAACGAAAAAUCACUAUUUGUGGCAUUCCUUGUCAUUCACUUAGUGUUAGGUUUUUGUUUCUGUCGAAAACGCUUGGUUUUGGGUCUAGUACACUCGGUUUUUGACAUCAAAAUUAUUCCUUCGAGGUUUUUCUAUUUUGGAUUCAUAGUUCUAUUCACUUCAAUCAAUACGUUGAGAGCAGUAGCGGGUUUCGAUUUGUGAUACUGAGUUGGAUUUGAGUUUAUGGUUGAGAUUUGAGUCAAGGUUUUUUGGCAUGGAUUCUGUCCUUUCAUUGAAGUACUAUUGAAUUUCGAAAGCUUCAAUCGAGGUCCAUUUCUCUAUCUCAUCCUCUAUUCUCGUCUUGAAUUUUAAUUAUUAUUAUCUUGAAUUUAUUUACUUUCAUGGGUGUGAAUGAUUCGUGUGCUUGAUAUGUUCAAAUAUUUAUUGUACAUAUGUAUUUGGUGUUGGUUUCGAUUUUUGAAAAGUCGAAUUGAUAAUUGAAUGAACUUAGAUAUGAAUAAUUGAAUGUUAAAUUGUUGAAAUUGGUUAUUCGGGGUGAGAAUUGAAAAUUGAUAAAAAGCAAAUGCUAGUUAUUUUUUUAUUCUUGAUGUGUUGAGACAGAUUAGGUGGAAAAGGUUCGGGUAGGCAAUUUUAGGAGUGAUGUAUUUGUUGAAUACGUUGAAUGUUUAAACGUGUGUGUUGAAUGGCUUGGUUUUAUGGUUUUUGGAUUCAGUGUAUCAUUUGGCCGGGGAAUGCCCCGACGUAUUUGUGUCUAUUCAUCGGGAAAUGCCCUGAAGUAUUUUGUACCCGGAGGACGUUCGUGAUCAAGGCCCAAGGCGUCAGGCUGGAGCUUAGUCUAGAACUAGCAUAGAAUAGGAUUUAUAUUUUUCGCAAUUUUUCUAUUUUGGACUGUAUAAUUGGACUGAACAUUAUUAUUUUGGUUUUGGAUUGUUGUUUGAUGUUUGUUUAUGUGCAUUGUGUGCUUUAUACAUUUUUGGUGUCAAAUUAGCCAAUAUGCUCCACCAAGCGACCGUGGUCAAACCACGGGAUUGAGGGGUGCCUAACACCUUUUCCUCGGUCAACAGAAUUUCUUAAUCGAAAUCUCUGUUUGCGGAUCAGUUUUAGAGUCAAAACCAUUUCGAAAAGGAUCUUUCAAUGGUGACUUGGCACACCGGAUUAUGCCAAGUGGCGACUCUGAAUAAAAAUUGUAAAUAGUCCUUUUUUAAACAAAAAUCUUUAUUUUGUCACUUCUAAUAAUAAAAAACCCUUUCGAACUUAAAACGAAUCAUUUGGAGUACGAAAAAUGGGUGUGAUAUCUCAGGAGACUAUGCUGGAGAAUUUUCAGAAUUCGAGCUUAUUUUGGAGUCUUAUCGACUUUGUUUGGCAUUAUGAGUGUAUAAACAUUGUUUGUGAUUAUUGUUUGUGUUAUUGUUAUCACUGUUGUGCGUUUCCGUGCUCUUUGUUUACAAUUUUUCUUUAUGUGUUACCGCUUUAUAUCUGGCAUCAUGUGCAUAAUUCGAGUCAUUCUUUCUACAACAAGUCCGUAGUACACGUGUGUACACGAUCUAUAGUUGAGUCACUCUUAUUUUAGGGGGGAGCCGUUGGGUUGUAUGGAGUAGGUGGCCAGCUAAAGCAAGCCGCUUUGACCAUACGCUCCCCCGAAUAGCCUUGUUAGUGAACCUCAAUGUAGGUCAGCCUUUAGGUCAUACUUAUGUGCAUCAUAUUGAAGACCUAGCGGGGCCCACUUGGCCCUUUGUAGAAGACUCGCCUCUAAAGGUUCCCUACGUGCUAAAUGUUGCAUCUUUGAGGUUAAUGUGGUCAUUUGAUAGACUGAUUUGGAAAAAAUAUUUGUCAGAAGUAAAGUGUGUAGGUAGUGAAAAGUCAAAAAAAAAAAAAAAGAGGAAAAAGAAAGGGUGAGCCAAAAAAGUAUCUUUUGUAGUUUGUUUAGAGUUCUUUAUGGCUUUCGUUCUUCACAAUUUAAAAAUCCAAAAAGAUUUUUUUUUCACCUUUUUUGCACUUAUUUCUCGAAAAAAAUAAUAAAAAAUAUCAAAAAGAUUUUUCUUUGUUUUCUUUAGCAGGCAUUCACAAUUCAAAAACCUCAAAAAGAUUUUUUAUGAUAAGUAGUUUUUUAUAAAAGAAAAUGCAAAAGAUGGUAGAAAUUUUAUACAUUCCAAAUAACAAAAAGAUUUUUCUUUCAAUGUUGUUGGUAUCUAUUUUAUUUGAAGUGUCUAAUUAAAAAACCCCAAAAAGAUUUUAUUUGUUUGUUUUGAUCAUAUCUCUCAUGUCGUAGUUCGGUCUGUUCGUUAUUCCUUAAUUGUCCAAUCUGGAUGAACUAUGCACCCUUGAUUCUUCUCUUUCAGGAUGUGAGAUACAUAGGCAACUUAUUGUGGGUUCGGAGAUCUUAUUUCAAAAAUCCAAAAAAUAUUUUAUUCACUCUUCGUUUAGAGUAGUUGUUUCAUAUACAUCUUCAAGAGAAAACUACAAAAAGAUUUUCCUUUAAUAGCCUCAAGUUUAUUUACGUAUGAAUGCAAAAUUGAAAAUUCAAAAGAUUUUUCUUUGGUAAUCAUAGGUUUCAUUUUGUAUAGGGAUUUAAACCUAAAAAUGCAAGACAGAUUUACGUCAAUUCUAGCUUUGACACUUUGUUUCACGAAAAGAAAAGAGUUUGAUUGGCUAUUUUGUCAAGACUUCACGAACUACGCACACUUGAUUCUCCUCUCUUGAGAGUGAGAUACGUAGGCACCCUUCUUGGGUUCGGUGAUCUUUUAAAAAAAAUAGUAGGAAAAAGAGGUUUUGAAAAAGUGUUAAACUCUAACACAUUUGUUGUUUUUUUGUUGAGCCAGUUUAAGGUGGUAGGUUUGUGGCAUUCUGGUUAGUCCUCCACAUCUCACCAAAUCCAAAGGGUUAGAUGUGUCUAACAAGAAUAUAGAGAAUGACAUCAUGGAUCAAACAAAGAAUCAGGAAAAUGAGAGUUUGAAGCAAGAGAUUAGGAGGCUAAGACAACAAAUGACAGAAAUGCAUCAAGCUUGGGCCAGUGGGUUGCCUCCUCCUCCAUUUUUCUUUAUUGAUCCUAUAAAUACCUCGAGUUUUCCACCAAAAUCUCAAAGUCAGGUUUCUACUGUUGUUGAUGCACCGCAACAUGACUCAGAAUUCAUUCCAAGCCAAAAGCAUCUCAAUACUUCCACCACUUUUCCUCUAGCUCCUCAGCAUAAGCCUGCUACAUUCACAACUCCACAUGUCGUCUAUUAUCUUGUUGGUCAAUCCUCUACUGGGACUUCCACACUGGCUCGCCCAAUGGUUGUGCGUCCCCAUGCUGCUAGUGAACCUAUGUUCAAUAUCUUGGUGAUCAUUGUUAUAAUCCUAAGUCUGCUUUUAAGUUAAUUGGACCAUCAAAAUUUCUUAACAAGAAGUCCAGUGUACCAGAAGAGUCGAAGAAAAUGGUUGGAAAAAUGAAGAGUACAAAAAAUGCUAUGAAAAAUUUUCUAGGACUUGCGGGUAAAAAAGAUGCUUCAUACAACGACUGAGGCAUGCCUUAAAGUGUUAAACUUCCUCCAAUCUUUGAGAUGUCAAAAUUUACGGAGCAAGAUGGGCAUGAGGAAUCCGUGAAACAUUUGGGAUAAUAUUGCAAUCAAUUAAGGGAACCUGGAGGGAAGAAGAAUAAGAAAGAUGCAACUGCUAAUGUAGUUGGAGAACGGGCACAUCCAAGAAGACGACGUCAUCAUUACCGUUAGUCUCAAGCCCGAGUUUAUACCCAAGCUCUCCAUAACCACUCUCAAGAUAUAAUAUACUCUGUUUCCCCACCUCCAUAUCUAGUAUAUUGCGCACAACCAUAUGUUCAACUCCCUCCUUACCCACAAUGGCGCACACCAACUCUUCAAAGUCAUCCUCCAAUUCCACAAACAUACCAAAGACCUUCUAGGCCCGAUGUUCGAUCCAAGUUAAACAAUGAAAUGAGGUAGAAAUUGAGGGAUAGUUUCACACCAAUUGGAGAGUCAUAUGCCAGUUUAUUUCAGAGAUUGGUACAGCGAGGCAUGAUCACUCCUCUCCUUGGGUAUACUCCUGACCCGCAUUUAAGAAGUUAUGAUCCUAAUGUACGAUGUGCAUAUCAUUCUGAUGUUUAGGGUCACAGUAUUGAAUAUUAUCGUGCUUUGAAAAGAGAAAUUAAAAAGAUAAUUCGAGACAAAUUAAUCAUGGUGCAGAACAUUGACAGUGAGGAAAACUCUAGUCAUGCUGAUAGGCAAACCAUUGCCUAAGAUAUCGAGCUGACCAAUUGAGAAGUCACCCCUCUCCCUACUAGGAAAAGGUCUGGUAGUUUAUUUUGUUUUAUUUUCUGUUAUCCGAAUUAUUUUAGGGUUGUAGUUCGGGAUCUAUCUUGUUUUGUCCAUUUGUCGUUAUGUUCAAACCCUUCUAUCUUUUAUUUUAAUUAAAUGAAGUGUCCCUUUUUCCUUUGUGUUUUAAAUAUGUGUUGUUUGUUUGUUUUUUUUAUACAGUACACUUUAGGUUAAUUCUAGUGAUAUGACAUGCUAGCGGAAUUUUUAGCCUGAUCUUAAAAUUCAAUUUAAGCUUGAACAUUGAAUCAGAGAGUUAAAGUUAGAAAAAAAGAGCAUCUGAGAAAAUAGGUAGUGUGCUGAGAUAUUUGGUGACAAGUUCAAGUCUUCUUUGAAAAUUAAGGCAAUUAUUUUGAGAAUCAUAAGAAUAACUUGGUCAUCAAUUGAAAAACAUUGCUCAAUUAGGUCAAAUAGCGGAUGUGUGAUACCGAGGGACAGAAAAAUCAACCCCACGAAAGCAUGAGUAAUUUAAUGUGAGGGAUGUACAACAAAUGUGGAGUUGUAUUUUGACAAGUGUAGAAGAAGAGGGAACACACAUGCUCGGGAAAAUUUAGUGUUGUAAAACAUGUCAUAAGGGAUACUGGUCAUGCACUUUCACAUUGCAUGUUAUGUACUAGCAUCUUCAAAGAUUGAUAUGACGAAGAUAUUUCAUUCUACUAUCCAAGUAUUGUGUCAUCCUUUGUUUACCUCAUUUGAGAUUUAGUUCUAUUUUCUUUCAUAUCCUUCUUUUGGAAUCAAGAUGGAGUCGAAAAGUUCGAAAAAAGUAUCAAGAAAAAAAUGAAGUCAAAAGUCCAAAACAGAAAAUAAGAAAGUAUGUCCAAAAAAAAAGGGAGAGUGUCAAGAAAAAUAAAGACAGAACAGUCCCAAAGAGAAAAAGAGUCAACAAAAGAGAAAAAAGAAAAUAAAAAGAAAAGAAGAAAUCAAAAUCAAGCAAAAAAAUAAGCUUCCAGAAUUACUCGUGACCUGAUUCUCCUCUUUCGGGGGUGAGAUACGUAGGCUGCCCUAUUCCGGGCUUGGUCCAACCAAAUAAACAAUUUGGAAUUACCCAGUCAAAAGAAACUGGGACAUUAGUUAAUCCUCAUUGUUUGAGUCGAUUCCAAAAGUUAUAAGUCCUACCAUACUUCAAGUGCCGUUUGGGCCUCAUGCCAUCCUUUCUUUCUAAUCCUAUCCAAAAGCCAAGUUACAACCAAAGAAAAACCUUCAGAUCAAUCUUUGAGAAUGUUAAGGAUAAGCAUGCAAUGCAAAUGAUAACGCAUUUUGGGAACUAAUUGUCUUCCUCAGCAUAGGGAAUGAAGAAAGAAAUAAAAAUGACAAAGUCUUAUUGAGGAAAACCCUCAUGGGCACCAUAAGGCGAUGGUAAGUUGAGAGAGAAAAAUGAGAGUCUUAUUGGUGAAAACCCUCAUGGGCACCAUAAGACGACUGUGAGUUGAGAGAAAUAAAAAUAAGAGAGUCUCAACGGUGAAAAACCCUCACAGACACCAUAGGGCAAUGGUGAGUUGGAAAAAAGAAAAUGAGAGAGGCUUGUUGGCAAAAACCUUUCAAGGCGCCACUAGACGAAUGAGGUCUUAAACACAAUUGAACUAAGGAAGCAACUCAAUUUUGAGGUUAUUAACUCAACAACAAUUGGUAGAAGGUUUUGGAUGGAAAGAUCAGGCAGUUUAAUCCGAUAUGCAUGGCAUAAUCAUUAGAGUUGACUGUCAUUUCUAGAUAAAUUUUUUAUUUAUUUGUUUCAAACGGGAACAUUCAUUGUCUUUUCUUUCUUCUCUUUAAUUUUAUUUUGUUCUCUUUAAUUUUAUUUUGUUUUCUUGAGUCAGUGGUCCAAAUAAAAGUCAUUGUCAUUUUUCUCUUGUAUUUGAGUCAAGUGCAUAUCAAAAUAAGUGAGAAAAAUUUUCAAAACUGGCUACCAGCUUCUUGAAUUGCACAAAGAAAGACAAAGUCAGCAUAUGAAAGAGACAUGAUUGUGAGCUGAAUAAGGCAUGCAGAAAGUUUUGUCAACAGACAAACUAGGGAACUCAUGAAAAUACCAAGGUUUAAAGGGUUUAUUUGAGAAACAUGACAAAGCAGAGAUACUGUGUUUAUUUUAGAGUCACUCUUAAUAAUCUGGGUUUGGGUCAAUGACACGGUAAAGCACGGGUAAUUACCAGUAAUCUAAAACAAAAUGAAGGGAAUGAACACUGGUACAAGUGUCAAGAAAGCCAAGUUCUGCAAACUACCACUAAGUUUUUAACUGACAAAUUUUCUUUGUUGAAACAGGGGCAAAUUUACUUCACUUAAUUCAACUACCAUUGAAAAUGUACAUCCAUGAAAUUUACUUUAUGUUCAGGACCCUCCUGAAAAAUGGAAUUUUACUUUAUGUUCAGGACCAACCUGGAAAAUGGGAAUUUAAUUUCAACUCAGGACCCUCCUGGAAAAUGGAAAUUUACUUUAUGUUCAGGACNNNNNNNNNNNNNNNNNNNNNNNNNNNNNNNNNNNNNNNNNNNNNNNNNNNNNNNNNNNNNNNNNNNNNNNNNNNNNNNNNNNNNNNNNNNNNNNNNNNNNNNNNNNNNNNNNNNNNNNNNNNNNNNNNNNNNNNNNNNNNNNNNNNNNNNNNNNNNNNNNNNNNNNNNNNNNNNNNNNNNNNNNNNNNNNNNNNNNNNNNNNNNNNNNNNNNNNNNNNNNNNNNNNNNNNNNNNNNNNNNNNNNNNNNNNNNNNNNNNNNNNNNNNNNNNNNNNNNNNNNNNNNNNNNNNNNNNNNNNNNNNNNNNNNNNNNNNNNNNNNNNNNNNNNNNNNNNNNNNNNNNNNNNNNNNNNNNNNNNNNNNNNNNNNNNNNNNNNNNNNNNNNNNNNNNNNNNNNNNNNNNNNNNNNNNNNNNNNNNNNNNNAGAAAUUUACUUUCAACUCAGGACCCUCCUGGAAAAUGGGAAUUUAGUUUAUGUUCAGGCCCUCCUAGAAAAUGAGAAUUUACUUUCAAUUCAGGACCCUCCUGGAAAAUGAGAAUUUACUUUCAACUCAGGACCCUCCUGGAAAAUGGGAAUUUACUUUCAACUCAGGACCCUCCUGAAAAUGGGAAUUUAAUUUAUGUUCAGGACCCUCCUGAAAAAUGAAAAUUUACUUUCAACUCAAGACCCUCCUGAAAAAUGGGAAUUUACUUUCAAUUAGACCUUCCUGGAAAAUGAAAAUUUACUUUAUGAUCAGGACCCUCCUGGUAAAUGGGAAUUUACUUUCAAUUCAGGACCCUCCUGAAAAAUGGGAAUUUACUUUAUGUUCAGGACCCUACUGGAAAAUCGGAAUUUACUUUCAAUUCAGGACCCUCUUGGAAAAUAGGAAUUUACUUUCAACUCAGGACCCUCCUGAAAAAUAUGAAUUUACUUUCAAUUCAGGACCCUCCUGAAAAAUAGGAAUUUACUUUCAAUUCAGGAUCCUCCUGAAAAAUGAGAAUUUACUUUCAAUAUAGGACCCUCUUGGAAAAUGGAAAUUUAGCUUAUGUUCAGGACCCUCCUGGAAAAUGGGAAUUUAUUUUCAACUUAGGACCCUCCUGGAAAAUAGGAAUUUACUUUAUGUUCAGGACCCUCCUGGAAAAUGGGAAUUUACUUUCAAUUCAGGACCCUCCUGAAAAAUGGAAAUUUACUUUCUAUUCAGAACCCUCCUGAAAAAUGGGACUUUAUUUUUAGAAACAUAGAAUCUUUCUUUAUCAUAAAAUUUGUUUAGAAUUAUUUUAUUCUAGUUUGGAUUUUGAUAUCAGGAGGCCUAAAAAUAGGGUGAUGAAAUUGCAAGUCAGGAGCCCGUCUGAAGAAUAGGGUGAUGAAAUUGAAAGUCAAGUAACAAAGUGAAGAAAUUGAAAGCCAAAGCACAGGGCGAAUAAAUGGAAAAUGAAGC
rnacentral:lncRNA from 1 species